rnacentral:misc_RNA from 1 species
GGAAGGAUCAUUACCGAGAACUUGAUCGUCAGAUCAAUCGGUUCAAAAAGUGUUUGAAGCGUCGCUCGUCGCAAGUUUCUUGCGUACUCGCAUCGAAAGGUGCGAUUGACUUGAAAAGUGAGAUCGGAUAACCACUGCGAUGAUGGUAUCGCCUCGCCGCUGAUGCAGCGGAGUGGGAGCGACUUAUCUCGCUCACUUUUCACCUAUCUCUGCAUUGAGGGUGUCUGUUCCACGAGCCCGUCAGUUGCUUCUCCUCACAUGUGUACGAGGAAAGCCGUGGCUAUGGGGUGUCUCGUGUCGAGCGCAGCAAUGUGGUCGGCGAGAUGCUAGGCUCAAACAGCGCUCACUUGCAAGUGCGGCCCACUUUGCAGAGUUUGCGUCCUAAUUGUGCAGUUUUGACUUAUGACAAUAUGAAACCAAUGUCAAAUACAACUGCAAACGGUGGAUCACUCGGCUCUCGGGUCGAUGAAGAACGCAGCUAGCUGCGUUAAGCGGUGUGAAUUGCAGGACACGCCGAGCACUUGAUCUUUGAACGCAUAUUGCAGUCUCGGGUCUUUCCCGGGACUUCGCCUGUCUGAGGGUCGGAAUAAAAUAAAACUAUCGUAAAGACCUCGUAAUGAAACGGCCUCCGUUGCUGUUUUGUCGGGUAUACGAUUGCAGGUGAUAGCCACUUAAGGCUGCCGGCGCAACAUUCCAUGUUGCUCACCGACACGCUGAGGCUCGUCACUCUGCCACGAACACUUGUGUUCAUUAUUUCAUUCCACUUUUGUCGACCUCAGAUCAGACGAGAUUACCCGCUGAAUUUAAGCAUAUAACUAAGCGGUGGAAAAGAAACCAAAAGGGAUUCCCUGAGUAACGGCGAGCGAAAAGGGAUAAGCUCAGCGCCAAGGCUUGUCAUCUUAACGGUGUACGAGCGAUGCGGCGUGAAUGUUGCAGUGCUUACCGAGACUGUUUCGGCACCGCAAGUCCCUCUGACAAGGGCUUUUUCCAUAGUGGGUGCUAGGCCCAUAGCGGUUGCUGAUCGGUCGCGCUAACUGUAGCAUACUAGAGUCAGGUUGCUUGAAAGUGCAACCUAAAGUACGUGGUAAACUCCACGUAAGGCUAAAUAUUACCGAGAGACCGAUAGCAAACAAGUACCGUGAGGGAAAGUUGCAAAGAACUUUGAAGAGAGAGUUCAAAAGGACGUGAAACCGUUUGUAGGCAAACGGGUGGAACCACGAAGUUUCGCCGGGAGGGGGAUUCAAUCGUUCCAGCGUGAGCAGCGGUGCUCGUCAGGCUCUUGAUAGAGGGUUGGCGGGUGCUGCGAUUGUUUGCGCUGGGCGGUGCAUUUCUCCAUCUCUCGUGCAAAUGCCACGACUAGUUGGAAGGCUCGUGCGACCGUAUGCGAGAGUCACUCGAAGGUAGCCGGAGGCGGCUUGCUGUCUGCCGGUGUUACAGCGAUGGGCUCGGCUCGUAGCUCGAGAUUGUCGACUAGAUCAAGUUCCUCGCUUAGCGGGGUAUGCGUGUAAGGCGGCGGCACAGUUCGGGCGUCGAGGUGAGUUGUGCAUCGGCUUCAAUUGCUCGCUUUGCGGGUAAAGUUGUCGGUGUACGGCCGCUUAUGCUGAUGUUCGUUGUGUGACGUCGUGCGCAAUCGGUGGCAAGUAGGUCGGUCCUCCACCCGACCCGUCUUGAAACACGGACCAAGGAGUCUAACAUGCCUGCGAGUCACUCAGUCUUGUUUAGGCUCGAGAGGCGCAAUGAAAGUAACUUUUUGUGUUGUGAUCUUCGUUUGCUACGGCGGCGAAGCGCAGCAACAGCCCGCCUAUUCCGCUUCGUGACGGUUUGGCGGAGUUGUAGCGUACACGUUGGUACCCGAAAGAUGGUGAACUAUGCCUGGGCAAGACGAAGCCAGAGGAAACUCUGGUGGAGGUCUGUAGCGAUUCUGACGUGCAAAUCGAUCGUCAGACCUGGGUAUAGGGGCGAAAGACUAAUCGAACCAUCUAGUAGCUGGUUCCCUC